UCUGCCCUGGUGCAGGCCAGAAGGGGGUUCAUCAUCUGUGGGGGGUUUUAAAACAAUAAUAAAACCAAGCACCAAUGAGGCUGCUCUUUAUGGUCACUGCACACUAGGAAUUCCCCACCACAUCAAUCAUGACACACUGUUUUCCCCCAAAAGCUUUUCUGAUGAGAGUUCUGAACAAGUGCUGCAGUUACCAAAGCUUCAGCGAUAGGUACAUGAGCUUCAGGUGAGCAUGUAGUCAUUACUGAUCCUUUAAUAAACACCGUGUCAGUUCAGAGAACUCCCAGCAAUACGGUCACCUCUGACACACAUGGACCGAGCUUCCACAGGCGCAUCGUGAGAGACGUUUGUCAGGGCCCUGGAUCAUUCAAGCUUGCUUCAGGCACUGCUGGGGUCCUCAGCCCUAUGGAGAUACACAUUCCUGUUCCUGAACGGAGGCAGCAGAUAUGAUCUAUGCAGCGACUACACAGUGAAGGUAAAGAUGAAGAAACACAUCAGAGUUCCUUCAGUGUGACCACUUGGAAUCUGCAUUUGUGUUUAUAAUUCCAGACAGUGACAUAGGGUUAGAACUGUGAGGUGUACCAUUUUUAUUAGCCUUGGUAUUUUGAUAACACCACUUAAGCCUCAGCUGUCUGGCCAGUUAAAUGAAACAAAUCAUAUGAAGCAAGCACAUGCUGAUUUGUAGGUCUGCCUUCUCACUGACCUGCUGUGGGGCAAGAAUUGGGUUCCAGCCCCUGAUCUGCACAGGAGUGCACAAGCAGUCUGCCACCCAGGCAGCUUCUGUGACUUCACAAUCAAAGACGUUUCUGAGGCUGAUGAUUAUUCCUUGACCUCAGCAUCCUCCUUCACAGUACCUACUGCAAGGGCAACUACUGCUGAGUACAGGAGCUGGGAGAGAUCUCGCAGGCAAAGAAGAGAGACAAGUGCAGUCCCAUGAGAUCCAGAAUGCUUGUGGUCUACCCCACAGUCAAUCAACACCAAUUCUGGUUUGGAAAUCAAUGCAUCUGCACUCUGAGUUGCAUUGGAUCCUGGUGGACCAGAGCUCUGCAGACUUUCCACUCUCCAGCCUGUGUGGAGAAGUUGUAAUACCAAAAAUGACAUUCUCCAAACUCCCUUGCAGCUAGAUUCUGGGCCUGAUUUUAUUUCAUUUCGACUAGGUGCCCGUGCUAGCCAUUUACAGGACAGAAGGGAGUGGGGGCUGUGCUUUGCCAUGUCUGCCGUUUCCUGGUGAAGUGAGUGGAGAGGUCCUGGUUUUCUGCAGCAGUUUUAGCAAGAGGUCCUGAUUUAUGGGCAGUGGCUCUGUGAGUGUCAAGAGCAGGACUUGCAGCAGCCAUUUUGCUUGUGAGCAAGUAGCAGACACUCAUAGUUCUGGGCCUCUUUUUGAUCCCUAGCUCCUAAGGUGAGGUAUUCCUGAGGCUUUGGUUGUGGCUGGUUUUCCAAUUUCCUAAUCAUAAUAGAGGUGGGUGAUCUGAGAGCCAGAGGAAGCCCAGCAUCCUUUUUCCCCACUCCAUUGUCUAACUUCUUGCUGGAAGCACUAUGGGUGGAGUCAUCCGGCAUGUCCACUAGGCUGCCUAGAGUAGCUCUUUGCACAGUGGAACACAAUCUUGAGUGCAUAAAUGAUGCAUCCAUCUGGAAGAUUCUUCAAAAGAGGUGCAUUUCUCAUGAGUCGCACUUCCCGAAUGACGUAGUGAAACUGAGCAUUUUUGUCUUGUUCCUGCGAGGCCUGGACCUGCUGCCCCAGAUGAAGCCCAGCCUCAGGGGUGAGGCUGCCCAACAAGCUCAGAGGGAGCCACAGCUUGAGUUGUCAUCGAUGUCGCUGUUGGCCCAGGGGUGAGUUGGUACCACCUAACACCCCUCAAGAGGAGACCCAGCCUCAUGCAUGAGAAUGGAGUAUUCCUGGGAGAUAGCAUCUCCCUGAACACAGACGGGAUCUGGCAGCGAGGACUGCAGUGCCUGACCCCUGUGAGCCAAUGCCUCCAGAACCUGAGACUUCAAGUCAUUGCCCAUCGGAGGGAUGGACUGAAUCACGUCUCAAAAUUCAACCAGAUUUCCAGCUGGAGGCCAGGGGAAUCUGGAAACAUUAAUUGCCUCCCCCAUUAAACAGAUGCAUUUGCUUUUGUAUUUAUUGAAUUAAUUUACAAAAUGCUGCUGUCUUGAGGCAAGCAUUCCCUGGAGCUUGCAAAUACCAGCUACUACCACGUAGUUAAUAUGCAUUCAACAGAAGCAGUAAUGUCAGGGUUACAUUAGCACCAACCAAACAAUACAAACAUCCAGAGUUUUGAAUUCUCCAACCUCCAAGACCUCUGUGAUUUACUGUCUUUUAGGGUUCCAUCUAGAUAGGGAAAUUGGAUUUCCUGUCAGAAGUUUCUGUGCAACACAUUCCUGAACUUCCUUGAAUGGUUUGACGUCUUUCUGAGGUUUCUGGCAUCAGUCCCUAGGGCCGACUGCUACCACCUUGAAUCCAAGGGGACUGUUUUGGAGGAGAGGAAGGGGGAACCUAGUUGCAUCUUCCUGGUAGUGGGACAAGUUAGUCCAAUGUGUUUUUCACAGUCUUCUAGAUGGGAGAAAUGCCUGUGGAGUCCAGCAUCCAGGUGUUUCUGAAAUUGUUCCCGUGAAUGAAGGCAUUUGCCUGCCUCUGCCAUCCCAAUCCUGCCUACCCACUCUUUCCUCUUCUGAUGAGAUCUUUCAGCAAAUCAAGGCUGGGGCUUGGCGAGUGACUUCCCAAGCAUCACCAGCUCUCUGUAUUUUGAAGUCUCUGUCCAUACUGCCUGCUUUGAAAGGAAGAGAAGCUGGGCAGUACCCAAGGAAUCUAGAAACAACAUUUUCCUCUGCUCCUGUGCUAUCUGGGUAAAACUGAUCAAACAACACAUUUUCUGAGGCUAGGUUUGCUUCGUUUCUUUCUUUUUUGUUGUUGUAAAAGUUUGGUGUGGUUUUUGUUCUGACUUACUUUUACACUUUUUUAUUAUUGACACAUAAUAACUAUAUAUACUUAUGGGGUACAAUGUAAUUUUUUUUUGACAAGGGGUCUCACUCUGUUGCCUAGGCUGGAGUGCAGUGGCACGAUCAUGGUUCACUGCAGCCACUACUUUCCAGGCUCAGGUUAUCCUCCCACCUCAGCCUCCUGAGUAGCUGGGACUAUAGGUGCAUGCCAUCAUUUGUAGCUAAUUUUCAUAUUUUUCACAGAAACGGGGUUUCACCAUGUUGCCCAGGCUGCUCUUGAACUCUUGGGCUCAAGCUAUCCACCUGCCUUGGUCUCCCAAAGUGCUGGGAUUACAAGCAUGAGCCAGCACACCAACCCUGAUGGUUUAGUACAUGUGUGUAUUGUAGAAUGAUUAAAUCAAGCACAUUAGGAUAUCUAUCAUCUCACAUACUUGUCAUUUUUCCUUGGUGAGAACAUUCAAUAUCUACUCUUUAAAAGCAAUUUUGAAAUAUAUAAUACACUAUUAUAACCAGAGUCACCAUGCUGUCCAAUAGAUCACGAAAAUGAUUCCUCCUAACUGAAACUUUGCACUCUCUGAUCAACAUCUCCUUUUCUCCAUCUCCUCUUCCUCAUUUGUUCCUUAAAUUAUUUGCUUUGGCCUGAAAAUACCCUUGGAAGCAUCGUGCCUCACACCAGCUAGUAGGAAUAAGUACAGGAAACUAUGUGACUGCCCCUCAGCAGUGGAAUGUAUAAUUGAGUCAUGGUCUGUUCCCACCAAGGAAUGACUACAAGAUGGUGAUAAGAAGCUGAUGAUCUACAAUGAUCUGAGGUAAUAUGUAUGAGAGUCUUGCAAAGUAAAUUGAGCCAAAGAAGCUGGAUAGAAUAGUACAAAUUGUACUAUUCCAUUUAUACAAGGUAUAAAAUCCAGUGGAACUAGGCUAUGCUGUCAGAACUCAGGAUAAUGCCGGGCCUAGUCAUGACCAGGAAGGGGUAUGUGGUGUGCUUCUAUGUGUAGUGUGGGUGACCCACUGUACUGCUUCAGAGGCUGGAUACGUGGACAUGUUCGGUUUGUGAAAAUUCAACAAACUGUACACUUAGGAAAGGUGCUGCAUUUA